UACGUAGGUGGCAAGCGUUGUUCGGAAUUAUUGGGCGUAAAGAGCUCGUAGGCGGUUUGUCGCGUCGGCUGUGAAAUCCCGAGGCUCAACCUCGGGUCUGCAGUCGAUACGAGCAAACUAGAGUGUUGCAGGGGAGACUGGAAUUCCUGGUGUAGCGGUGAAAUGCGCAGAUAUCAGGAGGAACACCGGUGGCGAAGGCGGGUCUCUGGGCAACAACUGACGCUGAGGAGCGAAAGCGUGGGGAGCGAACAGG
rnacentral:rRNA from 1 species